GGGCUGGGGCUCAGUGGCCGAGCGCUCGCCUCGCACCUGGGAGGCACUGGGUUCGAUCCUCAGCACCACA
rnacentral:tRNA from 1 species